CUGUUAGCUGUGCAGAGCGCCCAGAUUAACCUGUGACACAGCUUCGUACCAUCGAUCACCUUUAUAUUCCGCUAUCUUUGCCGUCGUUACCAAUAUUGGCUUGCCUGUCAACAUUUGUAUCAUGUGUCGUUAUUUAUCAGACGUUGAGUUAACCUGAGAACAGUUUGUCAUCCAGCCUGUAAGUGAAACAGUCUGGAUGUCUAGGCUGAGUUACACUCCGCCCGAACACAGCGUGGAGUCAGCUGUGGCCAGGCAAAUGCUGGUAAUAUUGGUAACGACGGCAAAGAUAGCGGAAUAUAAAGGUGAUCGAUGGUACGAAGCUGUGUCACAGGUUAAUCUGGGCGCUCUGCACAGCUAACAGCGUCUCCACUCUGCGCUCCAUCUGAGCGUCAAACAUCUCAGCCUGUUUCCUUAUGAGGAAUUGGCAGGCUACAGGAAUAACACAGAAAGGCAGCCCUACAUGCAAACACGGUCAACACACGUGGCUGCAAUUGGACCGGUGCAAUUGGUGCAGUCUGGAAUGCACACAGGAUCCAAGGCAAGGGUAUCCCCAAUCAACUGGCUUUAGGUGGAUGGCCAAAAAAACUGCCUUGAGAUCGUUUGCCAGAGGCUGCAGACUGCUAUGGCCAGUGUGCCACUAUUUGGCCGAAACCCAUUUUCCACAGUGGAUCACCAGGCAACAGCUGAACAAGGAUUUGCACGGCACAAUUCAAACAUUUCAAAACUCUUUGACAGUGCCGUUAACCAUGAACCAAGGCCUUUUCAAAACUGAAUUAAGGAACUUAUAGACAUCGUAAGAAGCCAUGUUUAGAGAGCAGUAUGUGCAUAGUGUAAUAAGUUAAGACCUGCACCUCAUCAACAAGCAUCUCAAGUUCAGUUUCUGUACAAUUCUUUUUGUUGGUUUCUUGCUCGGGUUUUUGAUGUGAUUCUCUAUAACACACAUUUAAACCUAUUUUCUUACUUUUGAAUAAAUGUCUGUCAACUGGA